UUUUCUUUUCUUUUCUUUUCUUUUUCUUUUUUCAAAAGGGUUGUCAACAUGUCCAA
rnacentral:ribozyme from 13 species